rnacentral:rRNA from 1 species
UACGUAGGGGGCAAGCGUUAUCCGGAUUUACUGGGUGUAAAGGGAGCGUAGACGGCGCUGCAAGUCCGGAGUGAAAGCCCAUGGCUUAACCAUGGUACUGCUCUGGAAACUGUGGAGCUUGAGUGCGGGAGGGGCAGGCGGAAUUCCUAGUGUAGCGGUGAAAUGCGUAGAUAUAUGGAAGAACACCAGUGGCGAAAGCGGCUCUCUGGUCUGUAACUGACGCUGAGGUUCGAAAGCGUGGGUAGCAAACAGG